rnacentral:rRNA from 1 species
CUACGGGCGGCACCAGUGGGGAAUAUUGGACAAUGGGGGAAACCCUGAUCCAGCAAUGCCGCGUGUGUGAAGAAGGCCUGCGGGUUGUAAAGCACUUUCGGUUGGGAGGACUGCUUCUAGCACUAAUAUUGUUGGAAGUUGACGUUACCUUCAGAAGAAGCACCGGCUAACUCCGUGCCAGCAGCCGCGGUAAUACGGGGGGUGCAAGCGUUAAUCGGAAUUACUGGGCGUAAAGCGCGCGUAGGCGGCUAGAUCAGUCGGGUGUGAAAGCCCCGGGCUUAACCGGGGAACUGCAUCCGAUACUGUCUAGCUUGAGUACAGGAGAGGAGAGUGGAAUUCCACAUGUAGCGGUGAAAUGCGUAGAUAUGUGGAGGAACACCAAUGGCGAAGGCAGCUCUCUGGCCUGAUACUGACGCUGAGGUGCGAAAGCGUGGGGAGCAAACAGGAUUAGAUACCCGUGUAGUC